rnacentral:rRNA from 1 species
UCGGAGUGCUUGCACUCUGUGAAACAAGAUGCAGGCUAGCGGCGGACGGGUGAGUAACACGUGGGUAACCUGCCCAAGAGAUCGGGAUAACACCUGGAAACAGAUGCUAAUACCGGAUAACAACAGAUGAUGCCUAUCAACUGUUUAAAAGAUGGUUCUGCUAUCACUCUUGGAUGGACCUGCGGUGCAUUAGCUAGUUGGUAGGGUAACGGCCUACCAAGGCGAUGAUGCAUAGCCGAGUUGAGAGACUGAUCGGCCACAUUGGGACUGAGACUCGGCCCAAACUCCUACGGGAGGCAGCAGUAGGGAAUCUUCCACAAUGGACGCAAGUCUGAUGGAGCAACGCCGCGUGAGUGAAGAAGGGUUUCGGCUCGUAAAGCUCUGUUGUUGGUGAAGAAGGACAGGGGUAGUAACUGACCUUUGUUUGACGGUAAUCAAUUAGAAAGUCACGGCUAACUACGUGCCAGCAGCCGCGGUAAUACGUAGGUGGCAAGCGUUGUCCGGAUUUAUUGGGCGUAAAGCGAGUGCAGGCGGUUCGAUAAGUCUGAUGUGAAAGCCUUCGGCUCAACCGGAGAAUUGCAUCAGAAACUGUCGAGCUUGAGUACAGAAGAGGAGAGUGGAACUCCAUGUGUAGCGGUGAAAUGCGUAGAUAUAUGGAAGAACACCGGUGGCGAAGGCGGCUCUCUGGUCUGUUACUGACGCUGAGGCUCGAAAGCAUGGGUAGCGAACAGGAUUAGAUACCCUGGUAGUCCAUGCCGUAAACGAUGAGUGCUAAGUGUUGGGAGGUUUCCGCCUCUCAGUGCUGCAGCUAACGCAUUAAGCACUC